rnacentral:piRNA from 1 species
UCUCCACGGUAAUGGGACUACGCGGUGUUU